GACGAACGCUGGCGGCGUGCUUAACACAUGCAAGUCGAGCGGUAAGGCCCUUUCGGGGGUACGACGAGCGGCGAACGGGUGAGUAACACGUGGGUGACCUGCCCUUAGCUCUGGGAUAAGCCUGGGAAACUGGGUCUAAUACCGGAUAUGACUCCAUGACGCAUGUUGUGGGGUGGAAAGCCUUGUGCGGCUAGGGAUGGGCCCGCGGCCUAUCAGCUUGUUGGUGGGGUGAUGGCCUACCAAGGCGACGACGGGUAGCCGGCCUGAGAGGGCGACCGGCCACACUGGGACUGAGACACGGCCCAGACUCCUACGGGAGGCAGCAGUGGGGAACCUUGCGCAAUGGGCGAAAGCCUGACGCAGCGACGCCGCGUGGGGAUGACGGCCUCGUGUAACU
rnacentral:rRNA from 1 species